ensembl:lncRNA
CACACACACACACACACACACACACACACACACACACACGCACAGCCCCUCCCACGGUUUGCUCGGCCAACUUCAUCAGGUAUUCAUUCAAAAAACACACACACGCCAGCUGGCUUCCCGCCCAGAGACCGCUUACAAGCAGAGACUAGAGAGGGAGGGAGGGAGGAGGUUACAGCGAGAAGGGAAGAGAGAGGGAGUGUGGGGGAGAGGAAGAGGGAGGGAGGGAGCGAGUGAACGGUAGAGAUUAUAAAGAGAGAGUACACAAAAGACACACAUGGAAAACAAACAAAUGUAUACGUGUGUCUGGGGCAGGAACUAUUGUUAAUCUUUUGAGUGUUUUCUACACUUGAUGCAUUAGGACACACGAUCUCACAGAAGUGGUGGGGUAGUUUCUUUUCGUCAGACCAAGAGUGUAAAACCCAGAUUCACAUAAAAUAAUAAAUGAAAAAGCUAAUAGGCGACAAGUCCUCACGUUUGACAAGCUGUAACCAGAGUGCCACUGUACUCGUUGGCCUUUUCUGUUGCGAAAUAUUAACCAAUUACCAAUUAAUGCAAUUCCAAAAAACAGUUCAGACCAUUGACAAAUGGCAGGAUUGUGUGUAUUAUCAACACACAUGUGCACUUAAAGGUAAAGGUAAAAGGUAAAUCUAUUUCCCCCUGUUGUGCUCAGAUUCAAUAAGGCUGCACUUCCCACUUUCGACCACUGGGUGUCACAACGGGUCCCCUCGCUGACAGCAUGCAGCAGUCUAUUACCGGCAGUUAGCUGACCUACUUAAAAGAACAUUUGGAAAUAAAUAUAGAUGAAAUGCGCUACUCAAUGCAAAGCGAUGUGGCACGCACGGGGAACACGAGAGUAAUCACUCAUAAGACGCAGACACACACACGCAGAACACAACGGAUUCCCACUGGACUCUACGGGUCUAAACAUGCACUAAAAACACAUCCUGUUUGUGUUGGUUGGUCUUCCUGUCUGCUUGAUUUCACCAAGCAAAAACUAACAAAUUGUACCGAGAAAAGCUCAGCUGGAUAAGGAGAUUGGGAAAUAGCCCUUUGCGCAAGUUAUAACAUUUUAUGUCGAAAAGCAUUUUGGGUGAUAAGCACUGUGAGAUGAUGUCAUGUACCCUUAUGUGUUUGCACUUUGUGUUGGGGCAGCUGGACUUUCUGUGGAUGCAGUUCAAUCCUUGCUACAAUGUCUACAAUCACAAAAUAUCCUUCCUGUUCUGAAACCAGACCAGUUUAGAUCUAAUAACAUUUCUUUAAAAAAACAUAUAUGGUAUUAGUGACAGUUUGGCAUUCCCUCAUAUUAUGAACACAUAUUCAUUUAUGUGUAUAAGAGAUACAUCUUAUAAAAUCUAUAUAUAUUAUCAAAUUAUUACAGAAAGUUAUAAAAGGAAAUGAUCUGAUGUACAGCCUUAAGAAAGAUGUAAUAUCAAGACAGAGACACAGCGCUUUUCUCUUCUGACCACUCAAAGGCUUCCACACAAGACCAGAGCACACUUUGUUUACAAUUGGCGAGAGAGAGAGAGAGAGAGAGAGAGAGAGAGAGAGAGAGAGAGAGAGAGAGAGAGAGAGAGGGAGAGAGAGAGAGAGAGAGAGAGAGAAUACCACUUCAUCAGAACUGGCUAAUGUCCAUUGCCACUGAGCAAAAUGUUGCAUUGCCCCUGAGCUUAGAAAUGUCUAUAAAGCACAUUGCCUCCUAAUUAUGUAUGUGUGUACUUCACGACUUCAGCGUGUUAUAAGCAUGAUAUUGUAUCACUGAGGUCUCCUCUGCACAGCUGCAUCUUGAAUACAUCGUGGGAAACUUGUCGCAACUCUCCUCUGUUUUUCAUAUAAACAUAUUCAAACGAUGCAGCUGUAGUAAACACGGGCUGCAUUAUGCUGAGCCCCAACGGACGGAAACAAACAAAAACAAAUUGGGAUUUUGUGUUCUUCCUCUGGCACAAUUAACCCCACGAUUUGGAGGUAAAACGUUGUGGUAAAAUGACUGCUCUCUUUUCCCUCCUCGUGUGGCGGUCUCAGUCGGAGCCGGUCACUAAGGAAACGGAUGAAAAGCUUCUACACACUCACACCUAUAUACAUAUCCCAGACUCUCACACAGAACACACACACGCUCGCCCCCGCAAAACUUUACACACACUCUCUCUCCCCCCCGUCCUCCCCCUCCUCGUCUGGGCUCUCGCGUUGGCCCUCGUCUUUCCAUCCAUCCGUCUGAGCGUGCGAAGCGAUCGAAGGCCGCGUUCCCUCGACGAUCUAUCGCUCAUAACCUCGUUGUAAUCGUUGCGUAAUCGCGUCAAUGGGCGCCCUGCGAGCGCCGCACACAAACGCAGCCUCCCUUCGCCUCCCUCCGUCUCCCCCAACGAGCCCCGUGCCAGUUUGCUGGCAGUGUAGUGCGCGACGUCAACCCAGAGCCACAUCCCAUUCACAAACCUACUAAUCCACACACACUAUUAGAUCCCGACAGUGUGUGUGUGUGUGUGUGUGUGUGUGUGUGUGUGUGUGUGUGUAGGAUUAGGGAGGGACUGGAAUGGAUGGGCAAAUCACUGCUAAGCUCCUCUAUUGCUCUAUAAUCCUACUACACACACACACACACAUGCAUUCACACAACGCACACAAACACGAACCCAUGCACUCUCACUCUUUCUCAUUUUCACACACGUACAGUGGACGUAUUUACAAACACACACAGACGUAAGGCCGCACCGACAUUCAGACACACAAACGUGCAGACAUACACACCCAGGCGUUAUUUCAAAGACAAUACAGUAUGUAAUCCUCCUCAGGGAAUGUGUGUUCCUGCAUUAAAGGGAGGAGGAGAGAAAUAUGUAGGAAGGGGGUGGAGGGAGGGAGGAGGGGGGGGGGGGGGCAGUUGUAGUGAAAAAAGGAAAAAGAUAAAAGCUAGAAAAGAGAAGCGGAAGAAAGGAGGACAGAUUUAAUUCAUUCAUCAUUCCACCAUCCAUUCAUUCCUUCCACCCACGCAGCCAUCACUCCUUUGUCAGAUCCUCAACCAGAAGACGCUCACAUGAAUUGAGAGCGAAUGUUACUCACUUUACAAAAAUUAAAAUAUGAAGACAUUUCAUUGACCACUUUGAUUAGAUACGACGGCUCAAUCAGCGAUCGAGGACAAGGAGACGUUUGUCCACGAGACCUUAGAGGGCAAAGCCUGUGAUGUGCGAUAUGACGAAGAGUCUCCUUUAUCUCCUUCAUCUGGCUUUUCAUUGCCCAUUUUAUGUCUUUUAAAUCCAAUUUAUUUUGUUGUCCAUAUCGGAUAAUUAAUUAUAAAAAAAACGUUAUGGGUUGAUGAAUCAUGUGAUUAUAGUGUCAUUUUCAUCAUAAUAUUAAUACAUUUUUGCAAAGCAAAAGUCAGAUAUUCCCUUUUGCGUUGUAUUUAUUUUUGCUUAAUAUGACGAUUAAUCACUAUUCAUCAUUCAGUCCUAAUACCAUUUCAAAGCAAAUCCUCCUCAGUGUUUAUCACACCUCACAUUUGUGCUCCCAAGAUGUUUUCACGUGGGUGGAACGCGGUGAGAUAAAGCGCGUGCGAUCGUCUCUCCGCCGAAGACGGGUGGAGGACGGGUGGAGGACGUGCUGACAGGUGUGGGAUGUGCGGCUGCGUCGAGGAGGGUGCUAAACCGCCUCCGCGGCCCGCCUGCCCGAGACGAAUGGCAAUAGAGACACAACUGUAGACUAAUGCUGCACACACACACACACACACACACACACACACACGCAGGCUACGUGAUGGGGUCCGCAUGUGUCCACACAUCGGACAGCGAGUCGAGGUGAGCGGCUGUGAAAGGCCCGGCAGGCCGGCUGGCACUGACGUGGCGUGGAUGCUCGUGUCAGCGGCCGUGGUUUCCACCUUUUGCGAAUAAAAAGGCUCAGGGAUACAAAUGUCAGACAGAGUCGUGGUUGAGGACGGAGAAGACACAAACACACAAACACGCACAUCCAAUGUGGUACCAUUUAGGGCUCGGCAGAUGUGUUUCUGCGUUUAAUAUUUGAAAAUAUAAAAUGUUCUUAACAAUAUAUUUUACACUAUCAUAUUCUUAUGAACAGAUGAGUAUACUUAUACAAACAAAACAAAACAAAAAAUCUAAAUAUACAUAAAAAGGUGCUAGUUAAAACCGAUUGCUAGUUAAAAAUGAUUACUAAAACAGUUUGUGCUUCCAGUCCCUCUUGCCUUAACGGAGCAGUUUGCACGUGGAGGCUACUGUUGGAAUAUGAGAAGAAACACGAGAAGACAGAAGACAGACUGACUGCACACGUGUCUCGUUGCUUAUCUCACUUUGCUUACUGAUCUUUGACUUCCUUCAACAUCAUUAUUUUCAGUAGUUUCUAUGCACGCACAAACAAACACACAAACACACAAACACAGAUGAAAGGAAAUUCCAUCUGGCUGACAUUCUCUGGUUGGACCUUUUCAAACUGAGGAAAGACCAGCAAGUGUGCGUGUGUGUGUGCACGUGAGUGUGUAUGUGUGUGUGUGUGUGUGUGUGUGUGCAGUGCUGUGACAAAAAAAACAUUCUUGCGGCCAAAAUUCUUCAGCCUGGAUGCAACUGUCUCAUGGACAGACACACACACACACACACACGCACACAUUCAGUUGUCUUGAGGGUGGUUGUGUGCGAACCCUUUGACCCCGACCCAAUUUCAACAACAAACACGGUUAAUGCCUUAAAGAGCGCCAACACUUUGCUUGUUUGUGGGAAAAUUGUGGAAAAGAAAACGUGUGAGGAACAAAGGAGGGGGGGGGCGGACGACAAGAAGGGAGGUGAGAAGGAUGAAGGGAGUAGGAGGGAGAGGACGAGGCAAGGAACCGGAAAAGAAAGGCCCGAAAAAACCUGCAGGGAGACAGCGAUGUCACCUCGUAGUGGCACUGCAGCGAGAGAGAGAAAGCAGAUUGAAACGGACGUGAAGAGAGAGACUAAGGCGAUAUAUUAGCCGAUAGAAGUCAAGCAGAUAACUUCCCACUCCUUGGGCGAUUGAUUCAAGGGAUCAAAUGCAGGAUGCUGUGUGUGUGUGUGUGUGUGUGUGUGUGUGUGUGUGUGUGGGCGUGUGAGAGAGAGACAGUGACAGUGAAACUCUGGCUUCGGGCCUCGGGGCAUGAUGUAGUACUACGAGAGAUAACUCUUUUGAGACAGCACUUAGUCUUUCUCCUCUCAGUGCGUGUGUGCGCUCGCGUGUGUGUGUAAGAUACUCAACAGUUUGUAACCAAAGGAGCUCGUAGAUGUAAAAAGUGUUUUUUCCUUGGCGUUGUGGGUCACGUCCAGUCAAGGUAAACCGCGGUUGCGUCUUCGCUUGCUGGUCAAUGUGAAGGUUGGUUUGAGCGUGUGGCGUUCAGUCUCCAGCGGACCGUCUGCAUCAAUGCCAACACCCCCCGAGUGUUGAAAACAAGUUUGUGUCUGUCUCCGUGUGUGAGUGUUUCGAGAGGACAGCAUAAAGGAAUGCCUCGGCUCAAGAGUUGCCAAGAGCACUUUUCCCAUACGCCGGGGAGCCAAGACUUCCCCGAGCAGCCAAGAAUAGCACCAGCACUCUCUCUCCGUUUCUCCCUCACACUUAAGCAACCACACUUUUUACUCAUUGGCUUCAUCAAGGAAAGACGGCGAUGGAGCACGCACACACACACACACACACACACACACACACACACACACACACACAGAAAGGACAUGCAUUCAUUUGUCCUAAAUAAGAACAAUGGGUAGAGACCAAUCUGCAUGGGUGUGUUUUGUGUGUGUGUGUUGGUGUGUAAGCUUCUGCGUUAAGGGGCAUGCUGAGAGAAUAGGAAGCAUGCUUCUGUGCCAACCCGAUCCUUGGCAGUCAAACAAGGACACUUACACACAGACGCACACACACACACACACACUGCUGAGCGUUUUUAAUUGGCUACUGAUUUGCCAGUUAGUGUUCUUGCUACUCUCUUCACCUCACUGUGCUGGCCCCCUGCCCCACAGCCUGGCAGAGACACAGCUGGACCCGGACAAAGUGUGUGCGGUAUUGUGUGUGUGUGUGUGUGUGUGUGUGUACGUGUGUCACUCUGAAGCAAUUAGUGAGUGUGUCCGUGCAUGUGUGUAGGUAAAGGACGGCGUCACUUCAGAUACAUUUCACGUUUGCUCGUGAGCAUCCAAAUUAAGAAGGUUCAGAUCAACGGCCAGACAUCUUUUUCAUUCUCAAGUAUCACUUCAUUCAAGUUGUUCUAAGUUUUGCAUUUUCAGUAAACAUCCGCGAUGGUGUGCGCUGAUCUUGUGUGGCUGAGGCCACUUUUUCUCCUUUAAUGUGGAUGUGCACCAAGUCCAAAAUCAGUCAGGAAAGUACGGUACGUUAUCUAAUGUCAAAAUACUCGUGAGGCUCUUGAUGCUCACAAAUACACACCACGUGCACUAUGGCGCGCAUCGCCAACACGUUGUAGGCCUGUACAACAGUAGCGCGCACAAUAUCCGUGGGGUAUCUUUCGUGCUCAAUUGCUUGUAAAGUGUGCGUGGAUGGGCGAGUUAGCGGAAGAAAUGAAUCAAACGUAACACACUUCGGUGACUUUUCAGAGUAAAGCAAAGCUCUGCCUGUGUGUAUGUGUGCGUGUGUGUGUGCACGUGAUGUGUGUGAGAUUUAUGUAGCCUGUGAGCACAUUGCCUCCUACAGCAAUAUUUUGCAAGGUAAUGACAAUCAACACUCAUUUCUCAACACACUGACACACACACACACACACACUACACUCUUAUCUCAUCCUCUUUGUUUUUGACCUUGGGAUGCUCAUUGGUGUGUGUGUGUGUGUGUGUGUGUGUGUGUGUGUGUGCACCGUCGUGUAUGUGAUGACAUCAUUACUGGAGCAGAGCACUCUAUAGCUGAUUGAUGGAGAGAAGUCUUGUUAUGGUCGACGGCAGCGAGCACAUUGCCCAGCAACCAGACAAUUGGACCUGGCCGCACUGUGUGUGUGUGUGUGUGUGUGUGUGUGUGUGAGUAUGUGAUCUCGGCCCUGCAGCUCACAGGACGUACAGGUCAGCCUGUCUCAUGCACACACACACACACACACACACACACACACACACACACACACACACACACAUCUGCUUCACAGACAAUCCAGACGAGCAGAUUGCUUUUCACGUACACAAGGACGCACAGACACACGCGUACACACACACACAUACAUCCAUGUACACACACAAAGUAGCAGAGGUUGUAGGAUUAGUGCUUCUACUGCAGCAACAAAGUUGUCUCAUACAUUUGAUAUUCAAGCUGUGAUUAUCAACCGAUCGUCAUACAAUGUGUGAAGUAAUGAUUUGGGAGGAUUUAUCCUUCACUAAUCCUUUGGCAUUUUUAUCUGCUAAAGUUCCGUUCACAAGUUUCGAUCUCUCCCUUUUUCAAAAUUAGCUUUAUUUGUUCAGAUGCACGUUGUUAAAACAUUUUACUGCUUUUCACAUGCAAUCACAGAGUAGGUAAAAAAGAACAUUGAUGCUUAAAUGUUGCACAUGAAAAACAAUGACGCAAAUACAUGAUGUAAUGCAAACUGUGUACUGGAGUUUGAGUCGAGCGAUGUAAUAGAUGUUUUAUCUUUAAACUGAAAGCAGGUGGUAAUGUAAUGUGCAGAUAUAUUGCAGAUAAUGUGCGUCUGCGGAGGAGACACAAUACUUCAAGUCCCUCAAACAAUCAGGGCUCUGAUGUCAUGUGUCAAGCUUUGUUUUUCUUUUCCUUUCAAUGAGCACGUCAGCUGAAACGUAAGGCUGAGUGGCCGGUUGAGUUUAUCAUAAUUAAUCGAUGAGUAUUUAAUAACGUGGAUGUCAGCCCAGCUCGCUUUCUGUCUGCAGCGUAGCUGAGAAUAAUGAGGAGCAGUUAAACCCGAACUCAAACACCAUGCAGAAUGGAAACACAGCAUCUCUGAACCAAACAUAGAUUUAAGAAAGGAAAGAAUGCAAGAAAAGAAAAGAUGCAGUGGCAGAUGACUGUGGGACGAUAACAGAGAGAAUGAAUAAAAUAAAGAGACGCAAAAAGAAGAAACAAAAGGAACAGAGUCGAUGCUGAGUUUGAUAACAGAAAAAAUGAAUUUGCGUCUCUCUCUCUCUGACGAUCUGAAGAUCUUCAAAGGCUAAUGGAGCACUCCUGAGACGCUGCUACCAACACCGGUAGGACACACACACACACACACGCGUACACACACGUACACCCUGCUGGGAGACAAGCUCAGUGGUGCCGUCCUCUGAACCAAAGUAAUGAUUCACCAGGAGCUCCCAGACAGAUGCAGGGAGGGAGGGAGGCAGAGUAUGACAGGAGGAAGAAAAGCAGAUUGCAGAGAAGGGAAAUGUGGAAGAAAUUAGACAAACCUCAUAGCUGCAGGCCUCGUACUCGCCUGAUUUGUUUGCAAAAACCACUCAAAAUAAGAAUGAGAAAGCAUAAUGUGAUCCAACAAAAACAGAUAAUAGAUAGAUAUAAUGAUGGUACAAUAAAACUUAUUAUCAACGAUUAAAACCACAAGCUUAUGCCAAUGUUAUCUUCACUCACGUGUAUUCCUUCCAUAAAAUAUUAAAUAAAUUAAAUGAAUACAAUAAAGAGACCUGCCCUCUCCAGAGCAGCGACAAAGCUCUUUUCCCUGCACUUUGGCCUUGGGAGAAAAUGUACAACCCGACCUAAACGGCGCCUCUCCCUGCUCAGAAGAUGAGUCGGCGUGAAAACGUGCACAAAAUCUGCACGGCUGAUGAAGUCGGGCUCAUUAUUUGCUGCGGCUGUUACUGCCGCUGCUCGGUCUGGGGAAAUAAUAUUCUUACACGCCUCGUUAACUCGCUCUCUCUUCACUUCUUGGCCCCCCCUGCCCCUCCCCCCCAUGCCUUUCUCAUUCGUUUCCCUCUUCCCAAACGGCCGCUCGUCUCCCUCGCUUCCUUUUUCUCCGAUGUCGCCUUUCCUCAUUUGACCUUCCCGCUUCCCCCGGUCGGUUUACUCAUGUGUGGCCCAUUGUGCGCUCCGUGCACGUGUCAGAUGAGCACUCGGAGGAUGUUUUACAGGCAGCUCAGUUCCACGCUCAAUUGGUUAACUGACGGAGCGGCAGCGCCCGCGCUGCGCUUUUGAACUUUUGAUGGAAAACAAGUACGUUGGCGCGGUGCAUCCUCUGCGUUAGGAGCACGCGAGGAAUAACAUAAGGAAGAAAGGAUGUUUUCAUGUUCUCGUGGCAGCGCAGCCUUUUUCUUUUUCUUUUAAAAGACGUGUGCAGCUUAUUUUAUUCAACCUGGUGCCUGUGUGUGUAUGUAAAAUAAAAGUAGAACCAACAAAACAUAAAAUAAAAAUGUUUUCCGAUGCUAGUGAUCUAGAUAUGGAGACGGUUGUUGUCCAUAAACUACACUUAUUAGCACUUUUUAAUGUUCAACCACACUGCAUUAUACGCUCUCUGCUGUAUCUUUUAAAAGCAACGAUUUAGUAACUCAGAAGACGAUGAGAGUAGCUGCGAGUGGUACUAAAAUUCAAGCGACACCGAUACCUGAAUGCCACCGGGGUUCUAUUUAGUUGCUACAAACCAAUAGAACCAACUUAAAAGCCACUCGCUGUCCCUUAAACCCGAAAACCCCACCUGAAAUGUACCCUAAUAAUUGCCAUCAUAUUCCUUUAAGAGUGCGGGUUCUUUUCAGCAGUCACACACUGAGCCAAGUCUAUUUAUAGCCAGUCUGUCUAUGAGCCCUACUACAUUUACAUGGGAACCGGUCUCACACACACGCACACACACACACACACACACACACACACACACACACACAAGUACGCACGUCACAGACACUCCCACUGGUUGAUAGUGAGCAUGCUUUUCCUGCUGUGGUUGAACAUCCCGCUGACAGUAAAUGCUCGGUGCUACUCGACAUCGCAGAGCAGUUCGGCCACAAAAGUUGUGUGAAGACAAACUGCAGCAAAACCUUUUGACGUCUCCCAAAAUGAACAACGGGUUUAUUCCUGGCAGAAACCACGCAGAGCGUCUUGUAGUCUGAAAGUGGAAACCGACCAACACUGACCUCAAAGUAUGCGAGAUGGCUUACUUUGCUGGUGGACAGCAUGAAAGCUGUAGUAAUGUGUUGUUUAACGACGCUUCAUGUCAUGUUUCUAUCGCAUUAAAUCCGUCAUACAUUCGUUGCUGUUUAACUCUUAGCUGUGGACGUAAGCGGUACCUUGCACACACGCAUGUGUUGGAUCUGUAUGUGAAGCAACCACAAAGUCACGCUGGGAAAAGCUCGGGUGCAAGCCGUGUAAUCAAUGUUGCUUCAGUUUCAAUUUAGCUGCCUCAAAUUCAAGGACCUGCUUUUGAAUUGUUGAAUUGUCACCCUGUGACACUAUUAUUGUGUUUUCUUUUUUUUCUGUGUUUUGUGAUAAAUCAAACUGCUGGGAAAAGCACAUAGUUUGGUGUCCGUGUUCAUGUACACGUCACAGCAAUUUGAAGCCACACUUACUUGAUCAAACUCCUUUCGAUAUGCGCAGUAAUGUUGAAGGUCGGAUGGGUGCUGUGCAAGAAGGGAUAUUGGUUUCUGAGUGUGUGAGUUUUGGUUUGUGUGGUUGACAGAGAGGCAGAGAGAGAGAGAGAGAGGGGGGGAGACAUCAUUACUAUGACUGUUUUUAAGGCCUGGUAGAUGGGUCAGGGUAGGGUAGAUGUGAGCUCUUGGUUUGUUUGUGUGUGUGUUUGUUUGCACAUUCUGUCCUCUUCAUCAGGGUACUGGUGAUAUUUGAUUGAGUUUAUAAACAUAAAGACACCCACACAGUCCAUCGCCAACAUGACAUUUAUGCCUGUAAAAUGAUGUAUUUGUAUAUCCUUCUUUCCAUUUCCUUUCUGUCAUUCUCUUCCUGCAGCAUCACUGUUCACUUCCAUCCUCCUUCACUUGCAACCCGCGUGAUUCUUUCCCUCAGUCCACUCCCAUCUACUAUCCACUAUGCAGUAGAACAACCCGGCUAUUAUCAAUGUAUUUAACUCCCUCCUCCCACUGAGAUCAGUUCCAAAUUUUCCUUUUUCACAUCCCUCUCAACAUAAAUACCUCCCUCCCUCCCUCCCCGCUUCCCUCUUUCCAAGCAGUGCUCGUCCUUCUCCCCAGUGUUUUACCCCCUCCCAUCCUCCAUCUGUCUCUCCCCACUCUCACCGUCCUUCACCUUCACACCACAACCUCCCACUUUCACUGUCUCUGGAAUCGCUAUGAAGGUGGGUGAGGUAAUCAUAAAGCCUCCCCACGCACACAGACACACUCAACAGUGUGAUCAUAAAGCUGACAACGCUGUCAUUUGGGGAGAAACACACCCAGAGAUAAAGUAAAGGGUCAAUCUGUGUGCGUAUAUGAGGAUAUAUGAGAAGUGUGUGUGUGUGUGUGUGUGUGUGUGUGAGAGAGUUGAAGGGGAGCCACUACACAAAUGUUUGCAGUAAAAGCAAUGAAGAGAAAACUGUUCUAUAAGCUCCAGUCACAAGCCUGUGCGUGCGUGCGUGCGUGCGUGCGUGCGUGCGUGCGUGCGUGCGUGCGUGCGUGCGUGCGUGCGUGUGUUUAGGGGAUUCCGCACUGCUCGCUGUCUCAUUACUUUGCAGCUUGGUCCUUUGCGCUGACUCGGACACACUGUGAACUCACAAGCAGACCAUGUCCCGCGCAGGGUAACGUUACAUGUAGAAAUGGAAGUGGCCCAGCAGCCAGCUUAGCCUAGCAAAUAGCUUAGCAUAGUGGUGCUUUGAGUGGUCGUUUUUGCCACUAAUCCCCCUGUUCUGUUUGACACGUGGAGGAAUUACGCCCUGCACAGUUCAGAAGUAAACAAAGUCGCGUUGUAAAAUAUUUUAUAACAUUUUGACAGCCUGAUAAUUACUACACGGAAAGGAAAGGAAAACCGUACAAAAGCAUAGAGAAAGUAAACAAGGUGAAGCUGAGAUAAAACAGAGAAGAGUUGAGUCAAAGUGAGACGGAAAAACAGACCAGCAAGACAGUACAGGAAACUGUUUAAUAACGAAUAACAGCGAUCGUUUUUUUGUGUCCUGACCUUCCGAGUCACUAUUUAAGAGGGACGCCAUUCAAAAGUCUCUCAUUUGCGAUACGGGUAGAAUUGUUUGCUAGAGAUGUAGGUCAGUAACGGGGAACAAAUGUUGUUUUGUUACUGAACUAGUUCACAUAAAAAGGCGUCUACCUGUAACUGCACAGCUGUGUGUCAAACAGCCAAAUGCAUUUUCCAUCCCACUGGCUGGCUGGUUACUGAACAGCUGCUCGUUGACUGCUGAACGGCGAAGACUUGACCACCCGCAGGCAGGUUGUCUCAUCGAGCGCGGGCUGUAAGAAAUCCCCCUAAUAAGGAGACAUUAUGUGCAUGUUUGUGUGUGUGCGUGUCAACCACCUGAAUGACUGUGUGCGCGUGCGUGUGUGUUGCAUGUCCGUGCACAGGAGGGGUGCUAUUGCUCGCUGCUGUUACACAAUACACAUUGUAUAACAACUGCUGGUGUGUGGGCGGUUCCCGCCAUCUGGAGAGAUGCAACCCCGACCGCGCCUGGCACUACGCACUGACUGUGUGUGCCUGUGUGUGUGUGUGCACUUUUGUGUUUGUUUGUGUCCACAAAUAGAGGCCGCGUCAUCUACAGUAGCUGUACGUUUCUGGGUCCGUGUUCAUGACGGAUUAAAGCACGGGAAACGAGGGUAAUCCAUUGCUGCGGAUGCACUGCGUGUUUUGCUGUUUGCGACCUUUUUCCCCCUGAUAAAUACCCCAAAUGCAUUAUUGUGAAGAUGUAUUGCAUGUGAAAUUGUAUCCGCACACAGGACUCCUUGACCGUACCUUCGUGGCAAGGUCUUCUGGGGGUUUGACGGGUGAUAACCGAUUUAGCCGAAGCCAAAAUUUAAGUCCAAAAUUAAGUCAACCACACAAACAACGUCUUGGAGAUCCAUAAACAAACAAACAUAAACAGACAAACAGACAGUCACGAGAAGUGUACAGAGCACACAACACAAACACACACACACACACUAAACAAGGCGAGAAUCAACUCUGUCAACUCCAAGUCGGAGCUCAACAGCGAACUGUUGCUAUGGAGAAGAAAAGUGUGGCUUUCCAGUCUAUUUUAGGGAGAACAGUGUUACUUAUUCUUUUCGCUGCAUAUAUCAGAUGCAAACGGAACCAGAUAUCGAGCACUGGCUCCACACUGUCUGUGAACAGUGAGAGGAUUUCAAUUAAUCAACCUCAUUAUUCACCCUCACUGCAGCUACUGAUCUGUAACUAAUCAGCCUACCAAAAACACACAAAGACAGCAGUCUGCAAAAUGUCUAAAUUGGACCAAACAAUGUACUUAAUCAGGACCACAAUAAGGCAACAAUCAUCUUAAAUAGGAAUGAACAAUUUCCCAUAAUGUGUUCAUGUUAUAAACAGCAGCACAGUAACGGCUUCUAUGUGAAUGCAGCUUAGGGAUCAUUGCUUCCCAUCAUUACUGACUCCUCUGCAUAUCAGAAGCUACGAUAAUUGGACACAUCUGUUGUGCACUCUAUUACACACUAUUGUGUGUAUUUAGUUGUCUUGCUUAUGACAUAUUGAGAAAUAUCAAAGCUUUUAGUGAUAAGAAGUAAAACGACGUGGCCAGUACUUCCUCAGAGAACACGGGUUCCACUGAGAGCAUGACUACACGCUGUACUAUGGUUGCACUUUGAGUUCACUUAUAUUUGCAUGAGGCACAUAUGGGAGCCAAAGUGCAUCCACACGCGUGUGCAUGCUCCUGCAUUUCCACUUCUCAAGGUGAAGCCACGCAGUGAGCCAACUUGCCUCUGAUCCUAUAGCAGAUGACAUCACAGCUAAAGAGGAAGUCGCUGGACUCUCAUCCCGCCUGCUGUCAUUGAGAAUCGCAGCUUCUCUAUUGCAAACACCUCCCAACUCAUUGCUGUUGAUCAUCUCCUGAAUGCAAUACUUUAUUUGAGUCUCCGUGUGGCUUGUAUGAACCUGUGGUUGAUGUAUUUUGUCUUCUAUGUAGAGUGAGAACUGAAAUAAUGAAUAAUGAAUUUUUAUUCUUCAUUCUGUUUCAGAUAGCUACAACAUUUUGUACCGAGGGUUAAAAACACACUGAAAACAGAUACAAGUGUAUAUAAUUAGGGAAAGUUUCUGCUGUAUCAAAAGCCAUAAAAAAGAUCAAAACAUUUUCAAAUCCAAAUCCUCAGUUCAGAUCUCAGGGAUCCACAUUUCAUUCCUCCUGCUUGUCAAGCAAGAACCCCCCAUUGUGUUGAAAAGCAUGAAAUAUGUGGGUUUAAAUAAUGACGAGAGCACACCUGCUUUCGGUGGGAAGUUAUGCGAAUUUUUAAAAAUGCAACCGCUUACUGGCUGUCACUGGACGUCAGGUUGGGGUUUUGUCUUGUCAUUUCCUGUUUUAUUUUGAAAGAUUAACCUUCCUCUCGUUUCAGGUCUUGUUUCUUAAGAAUGACCUCAAGUUUUUUUCACAGCAUUUUUGGUUUUCCUCCUAAUGGAGCGAUUUGGAGUUUUUUUUAGGUAUUCCUCUGUGAAGAGUGAUUUACUGUUUAUAGAUAAUUUCUUUCAGAUUUUGUUGAUAGGUUUCUUAUAAGGUUUUUUUUAUAGCUGCUUACUUUAUCACCCAGUGUGGGAGAGUCCUAUUUAAAGUCCAGGUCUGACACUGGCUCUCUCAUGCCCUUCCCUUCGAUGAGUGAUCCACACUCCACUCAAGU